GCCUGGGUGGCCUAGCUGGUUAAGCGUCUGACUUUAGCUCAGGUCAUGAUCUCCCAGUUUGUGGGUUUGAGCCCCGCGUCAGGCU
rnacentral:tRNA from 1 species